AAUGGCCGGAUUUGAGACGGAUUUUCUAAAAUUCGAACUGGACUGCCAAAUCUGACGGAUUUCUAAAAUUAUAUUCAAAUCCGAAUCCUACCAAAAAUUCAAAAACCGAACCGCGCCCGAACCCGAAAUAAUUAUCUCUCUACAAUAUAUUACAUUAAAUCUAAAUUUUUAAAAUACAAAUUCAAAUACAACACCAAAUAUAUAUAUAUAUUAUAUAUAAUGUAAAAUAAUUUCAAGUUCGGAUCGGAUUCGGGUUCGAAUUGGGUACAAUCAAAAUGCAUAUCCGAAUCCAAAUUCGUCAGAUCGGUCUUGAUAUUCAUAUUCGAAACUAUAUCAAUUUAACAUCGGAUAAAUCCAUUAUAUUCGGAUUCAAGCUGCGGUAAAAUU
rnacentral:lncRNA from 1 species